rnacentral:tRNA from 1 species
GCGAGUAUAGUUCAGUUGGUAGAACGUCUGCUUGCCAAGCAGAAGGUCACGAGUUCGAAUCUCGUUACUCGCUCCA